CUGACAGAGUGGAAGAAGGCUUGCUUAUUGGAGGCGCCAAGGGCAAGGCCCCAGGGCUACAUUCCAUUUCUAGGAACAGAAAAGAGGACUGACAGGAGCAAUGGCGUUGUGUGGGAAGAACAAGACUGACCUGGAUCCAGACACCAAGGCUUUCCCCACCUCUCCAAAUCAUCUUUAGAAGACAGGGUUUCUCUGUGUAACAGUCCCGGCUGUCCUGGAACUCACUGAGACUAAAGCUAUGGGAACGCGUCAUUCAUGCUGGUUAUUAUUGCUGUUACUGUUACCUCGAAGAACCCCCGGAGAAGGAUGGUGCUAACAAACUCACCGUCUCCUCAGCUCUGCUCCACGGCUGUGUCCACCCCCCCCCCAUCUCUCCAUGCCUGGACACAUGCCUGCACCUUCCAACUGCUCUUCCAUGGCUCAUCCUGGCCUCUGCUUCUGCUGCUUCGUUCACUUGGUGCCCACCCUCUGGUCUCUACCAAUCAAUCACCCCUCAGCUUUCAGGAUUCCACGUCCCCAGGAAAACUUUUCUCAGGGCCCCCGAGAAGCUCUAAGAGUGGUGCUUUUGCUUCUCGAAUUGGUGGCACUUAUGUAUCGGAGCAUGUGUGUGUUUGGUAAACCAAUGAAUGAAAGUGACCUUGGGCAAAAUAUUUCCUUUCUGGGACUCAGUUUCCUCCCUUUAAAUCAAGGGCCUCAAACUCAGUGGGCCAUGUACUGAAGGGCCAGUCAUUCUCUGGGCAACUAGCUAGGGCUGCCAAAGCAGGAGUCUGAGCUUAGGGUUGCAGGCAUGGGGAGGAAUAAGAGCCCCUCACACUAGCAGUGCAUGGGGAACUGCUUUUUUCAGACAGG
rnacentral:lncRNA from 1 species